UGUAAGGUCCUAAAAAAAAGCUGAAAAGGACGUUUAAUGGGAAAAAGCUGAAAAGGACGUUCAAAGGGAAAAAGCUGAAUCUAAAGUGAGAGGUCGUUCGAACUACGUCACGUAAUUGUAGAAGAUUUUUGACUUCUUCACUUCUAACGACUUAACCCCCUUUACCUAAGCGUAGCGUAUUACUUUAAAAAUUAUAUUACCGAUUUCAAAGAAGUUUCCAAAAGAUUAAACACUCUCCCAGAGGAAUACACAAGAGGAAGGUAUCAGGAUGAAGGUUUCAUUAACUUCAAACAUGUUCUCGACCAGCAAAGCAAACGAUGCAUUAAAAGCCUUUCACCACUUUAUGGCUCUCUCCGUAAAAGCAAAAUAAAGUCUGUAGAAAAGUGAACCAAAAAAAUCUACAUGCCCCGGGUGAGGCUCGAACUCACGACCUUAAGAUUAUGAGACUUACGCGCUGCCAACUGCGCCACCGAGGCUCUGUGCCAACAUCCAUCAAGCAAACAAAUUCAAUUCACAAAUUUAUAUCGAACACGGAGAACGGUUCUACACUUUCUUACCAGAAAAAAAAAUAUAUUUGUGUAAAAAAAAAAUUAUUUAAUAUAUCACAAAUGGCUUAAUAAAGAAA